GCCCGUUGGGAAUAAGUUGUUUCGAAGUCCUAGGUUCCGGAGUUCUUACAAAACGGGCUCUGACUCUUCUGUACUGUAAUAAGUGUCUCUCAUAUCUCUCCUCUCCUCUCCCCAGUCGGCUAGCACUUCAGACUCAGACCGAAAAGAUCAUGACUACUUCGAAACGUCUGGCAGAGAAGAAAACAGCGAAAUUCGAGAAGAAUAUCACAAGGAGAGGACUGAUUCCUCAAUCAUCUAAGAAAGAAGAAUGGGAACCUGCACACAUUGUUCUUGUCCUCUUUGCAGUUCUGGUAGUAUUGUCAUUUGUUUAUCAGGUUGUCAGGAUGGCAAUUAACGGUGGAAUGUACUGAGAAAUUGGAAUUGUUUCGAUGCUUGGAAGCUAUUUCCUGCUGUUGGGACUUUCCUAUGUUUAUUUUGGGGAUUUUAACAAUAAUAUAGAUAAUGAAUUAUGAAUAUCCCUUUUGCUCAU